UACGUAGGGGGCGAGCGUUGUCCGGAUUUAUUGGGCGUAAAGAGCUCGUAGGCGGUUCGAUAAGUCGGACGUGAAAUCUCCACGCUCAACGUGGAGGGGCCGUUCGAUACUGUCGUGACUCGAGUCCGGUAGGGGGAAGUGGAAUUCCCGGUGUAGUGGUGGAAUGCGUAGAUAUCGGGAGGAACACCAGUGGCGAAGGCGGCUUCCUGGACCGGUUCUGACACUGAGGAGCGAAAGCGUGGGGAGCGAGCCGG
rnacentral:rRNA from 1 species